UGAGGAGAACAAAUGCAUCUGUCAUUAAAC
rnacentral:piRNA from 1 species